GAUGAACGCUGGCGGCGUGCCUAAUACAUGCAAGUCGAGCGAACAGACGAGGAGCUUGCUCCUCUGACGUUAGCGGCGGACGGGUGAGUAACACGUGGAUAACCUACCUAUAAGACUGGGAUAACUUCGGGAAACCGGAGCUAAUACCGGAUAAUAUAUUGAACCGCAUGGUUCAAUAGUGAAAGACGGUUUUGCUGUCACUUAUAGAUGGAUCCGCGCCGCAUUAGCUAGUUGGUAAGGUAACGGCUUACCAAGGCAACGAUGCGUAGCCGACCUGAGAGGGUGAUCGGCCACACUGGAACUGAGACACGGUCCAGACUCCUACGGGAGGCAGCAGUAGGGAAUCUUCCGCAAUGGGCGAAAGCCUGAUGGAGCAACGCCGCGUGAGUGAUGAAGGUCUUCGGAUCGUAAAACUCUGUUAUUAGGGAAGAACAAAUGUGUAAGUAACUAUGCACGUCUUGACGGUACCUAAUCAGAAAGCCACGGCUAACUACGUG
rnacentral:rRNA from 1 species